GAGUCCCAUCAUCUCUCCACCAUGCACCUUGUGACUCCCUCCUCUGCUGACAACAGAUAACCACCUUUAACUGUAACUUUCCACAGCCUACCCCAGCCCUAUAAAGCUGCCCCUCUCCUAUCUCCCUUCGCUGACUCUCUUUUCAGACUCAGCCCACUUGCACCCAAGUGAAUUAACAGCCUUGUUGCUCACACAAAGCCUGUUUAGGUGGUCUUCUAUACGGACAUGCUUGACACUUGGUGCCAAAAUCUGGGCCAGGGGGACUCCUUCGUGAGACCGGCCCCCUGUCCUGGCCCUCAUUCCGUGAAGAGAUCCACCUGCGACCUCGGGUCCUCAGACCAGCCCAAGGAACAUCUCACCAAUUUCAAAUCGGAUCUCCUCGGCUUAGUGGCUGAAGACUGAUGCUGCCCGAUCGCCUCAGAAGCCCCUUGGACCAUCACAGAUGCCGAGCUUCGGGAUCUGCAAUCAGAACUAUUGAACUUCUCCAUUCAGACCGCCACUCACACCUAUGGGAAAAGGGUAAUGUAUCAUCGGCUUAGCAACAGGGAAUACUAUUCGUAUGAUGGAAAAUGGGGACAAAAGGCUUUGGUACAUAAAACAUUAUUCCUUCCUUGGCCUAAAAACUCAUCGCCACCUACAUUAAAGCUAAUAUGCCUGAUUACUGUUUUUAGAGAACUUAUUUUAUUAGGGCAGUUCCAAGCUCAAAAAUACGCUAACUGGCACCUUGUUAGCUACAUAAAAAUGCACCCUAGACCCGAAACUUACUAGACUCAUUAUAAAAUUUUCUUUAAGGUGUCCACGCAGUCCCUGGUCACACUUGAAGCAGUCCGGAGAAAUAUCAGCCCUACCCCAGUAAUCCCCAGAAGGAACUUACACUUUUUUUUAAUCUUUUCCUACAACUUCAUAUUUUAUAAAUAAAAAGACAAAAAUGUCAGGCCUGUGAGCUGAAGCUUAGCCAUUGUAACCCCUGUGACCUGCACAUAUCCGUCCAGGUGGCCUGCAGGAGCCAAGAAGUCUGGAGCAGCCGAAAAACCACAAAGAAGUGAAACAGCCAGUUCCUGCCUUAACUAAUUAACCCACCUUACGACAUUCCACCAUUAUGACUUGUCCACCAUUAUGACUUGUUCCUGCCCUGCCCCAACUGAUCAAUCAACCCUGUGACAUUCUUCUCCUGGACAAUGAGUCCCAUCAUCUCUCCACCAUGCACCUUGUGACCCCCUCCUCUGCUGAGGAUAACCACCUUUAACUGUAACUUUCCACGCCUACCCAAGCCCUAUAAAGCUGCCC
ensembl:lncRNA UCA1 urothelial cancer associated 1